AAUAUUUAGCCAGUCGCGAGCUAGUGACUGGCUAAAGAACUUAUCUAGUCAUUACUAUCUAGGCACUAGUCUUGAAAUCUACUCUGCUAGAUACAUUUUUGCUCGGGAAAAGGUUUUAAUUCUUUAUUUGGAGUGACAAUGUUGAUUGGCAAAUAUAUUGACAAAGUUGUAGAUCUCGUUGUCAAAUCCAGCUUCUGCCUAACCUACAAAAAAGCCAAAAAGCGCAUGAAUGAAAAAGAAUUUGAAGUAUGGACUGAAGAGUACGAGGAAGAGUGCACGGCCAACCAUUAUAAUUCUGCAGAAGGGAUGGAAGUCGAGGCAGUGAAGAAAAUGUUCGACAGAUCCAUAGAACGAUAUGGCGUGAGAUACACAACAUACAUCGGAGAUGGUGACUGCAAUACGCAUAAACUCUUAUGGAUAUGCAGCCUUACGGUAAAGACGUAAUUAUUACCAAAUGUGAGGACAUCGAUCAUGUACACAAAAGGAUGGACUCUCGUUUGCGCAAUUAAAAAAAAAGAGGAGAAUUGAAGAAAUGGACGCUGUCAAUCAAUAUAAUUAAUAAGCUUUCCAAUUAUUAUGGAUUAGCUAUAAGAAAAAACUCUGACAGUGUAGAGAGCAUGAAAAAUGCUAUUAAUGCUACAAUAAAACAUUUAUACUCUAUCCACGAGAAUCCUUAGUACGACUUGUGUCCACCUGGUGCCGAAAGUCGGUGCAGAUACCGGCGCGCAGAGGCUGCAGAAUUGUUGGAAUACGUUUUCUCAUGAUCUGCCGCUUUCAGCAGAAUUUAUCUCAUUUUUUAAAUCAAUAUAUGCUGAUUUAUCAAGAGAUCUUCUGCAACGGUGCUUAGGAGGUGAAUCUCAAAACGUCAAUGAAAACUUCAACGCAACAAUUUGGCGCUUGGCGCCGAAGCAUUUUCAUUGUGGUUUCAAAACGUUGCAAAUAACAGCUUUCUGGCCGCUUCUGUUUUUAAUGAAGAUUCUUCAACAAUUUUACAAAUUAUGUCCAUUCUAGGCAUAGUCAUCGGACCGGAAUAUCGUAAGUACGUCGAAUAUCGAGACAGACAAUGACAGAAACACGCGACUCGUAGCAGCAGAGACUUCUAGCAAGCUCGAACAACUUGUAGAAAUGAACGAGCAACAUAAAAUGAGUUUUAUGAAGUCGAAAAGAAUUUAUUAUAUGGACCUGGAAUUACCAAUUAGGCUGAAACUUAUUUCACCGUACCUCGAGAUUUCAUGAGAGCCAUGAAACAGCACACGCCUAAACACGUCACGUUAGUUUUUGUGUAUCUCCUACAUUAUUAUUCAUAUAAAACUAUAAAAAUUUAUACUUAUAAAUUAAAUAUAUAUUAUUAUUUUUAUCAAGUUUUAAAUCAAUCGUCUGCUUAGUUUCCGAGAAAAAAAUUCGUGAAAAUAACCUAUUUUUUGCUUAUAGAUAAGUUUCCCCCCUUAAUCAUACUGUGUCUCUCUGUCUUUUUGUUCCUUUAAAAGAGUUCCAUUACGAGUUGGACAACUUUAAGAAUCUGUUCGCCAUCGACAGCCAAACUGGCAUCAUUACUACAUUAGUGACGUUCGAUAGAGAGGUCGAGAACACUUACAACAACUUACAACGUCAAAGUAUUAGCGAUGGAUAAUUCGCCGAGUUAAUUCUCUAUCAACGCGGCUAUGAUUACGGACGUACUGUUUUAUUAGUGGACCCAUUAAUAGAUAAAGUUUAAAGUUAAUCGCGAAUGACUUCUUACACGAAUGUUAAUAUGAAUUCUCCUUACUUGCAGAAAUGACGUGUAUCUCGUACUGAUACUCAGAAUAAAUUUGUAUAUUAUGUAAACGUUCGAGACAUAUAAUCAAAACUUAA